CAGACAGCAAGCAGUGUCGGCCCUGAUCCGGCCCGCAUGGAUUUCACACAGGCCAGAUGUGAGCUGGAUCUGGGCCAAAACUAUGUUGCUGUCUGGGAAUUUAAAAAGACAAAAAUAGGGUCGCUCUGAAAAAAAAGUUUGAAAACCACUGCUUUAGACUAAUGACUGAUGAUUAAUGGGAAAAAAGGAAAUACACUUUAAUACUUCCAUUGUAUGCCAACAUGUACAUGUAAUUUGUUCAGGCACAAAUCCACUUAAUUUUCCAUUCUAUGAAUCUCUUGAGACUCUUUGAUCAAUGUACUUCACUAUCCUUAAAAAACAAAACAAAACAAAAAACUUAUGUUGACACCGUUGCUGCGUCCCAAUUCGCAUACUAUCCGUUCUAAAUAGUAUUCGACAAUAGAAUUAGUAUGUCCCAAAUCAUAGUAUGUUUAAAAAAGUAUGCCAAAGAUUCCCGGAUGGUCUACUACUUCCGGUUAGAAUUCGAAGUGCAGAUCGAUCGAUGCACACUCUUCUAACCAUAAACAUAUAAAUAUAGGUAUUUAUAUGUCUAUGCUUCUAACGGCUAAUAUUGCCCGUAACACAUUGCGCUGUGGACGAUAAUUCGAUUAGAACUACAAACGCGCAUAAAAAGUGUUAAAAACUACAAACAUGGCGGAUAUGCGUGACAGACCGACAGGUAGAGAAAGGGAUUUGAUUGAUAAAUAAUCAAUGUCUAACCUGAUUAAAAAAUAUAUUUAUUUAAUGUUAUCCACGUUAUAAUUCAUAUGCAGCAACACUGUUAACUUUUAUAAUGAUAGGUUUGGUCAUUAACAGAUAGAAAGCACACUCGGGCCGAUUCUGGCUGAAAUGCGGCACUGACUCUACAAAACACUUCUAGCUGACAGGCGGCUUUUUCUCUCUGGGCCGAUCUCGGCUGAAAGCUGUUGUAGGUGCGGCAGGUCUGCACUCGGUGUAGUUGCGUGAAUUUACCUUCGGCCCGAGUUGGUUUUGUCACCGGCGGCCGCUGCUAGAAUGAAGAUCAGCCGCUGAGAGAGAGAUUUGGCGGUUAAUCCUGAGGAGAUUUCGGCGGGCACAGUUCUCAAGAGGAAUACUUCAGCUGCAAAAAGAAAUUCUGAGCUGCUGCAUGAACAUUCAUCAAACAUAUAAGGCUGCAAUUUGGAAAAAACUUUCAAGCUAAUGCUGCUGAAAUGGAGGUCAAGGGGACUGAAGAGGUGGCUCCAGCAGAUCAAAAGGGUGGACUUCAGGAGGCAGACACUCUGUUACAGUAAUCAGCUGAUCCAGACCAGACGGUGGACAUGCGCCAAGGAACGACCACAACACAUCCCUGACUGUCAGCGGAGACCUUGUCAGCUAGAUGACAGAUCCCUGUGAAGAUGGCCCCAGCACAGUUCCUCGGCAAAGACUACGAGAACCAGACAAGCCCUCUACGCUGACCCUUUUUACUAGCUUCACCUGCUGGCAUGAUAUUACUUCAUGCAGAAGAAGUUGGAUGAAAUAUUCUGAAUGAUAUCAAUCCACAAUCUGACUUGAUGCAGCCUGGAAUAAUCACACCACGUUCAUUCGUUUGGCCAGAGGAGACCGUUUCCUGACUGAGCCGGGUCUUGUUUGGGUUUGGGUUCCUUGUCACUGUUGCCUUUUGUCUUGCUUGGUUGAAGACACCUAAUAUUCAGCAAUAUUAUUGACUUGUCUGCACUGACACCAUUUGAUAAGAACUGAACUGAAUUAUGACACACAAUGUUUUAUAUAUGAAGAGUUUAUUUGCAAAAACAGAUAACUCUGUUUUUAAAUGUUUUUAAAAAUCAUGUUUUUUGUUAUCAUGUUUUUGUUUCGUGUUAGUUAGCUAGUAUUUAUUAGCUAUUCUUUACCUAAUCAAAAUAACCUGAAUGCAGUUUGAUU